GACGAACGCUGGCGGCGUGCUUAACACAUGCAAGUCGAACGCUGAAGACCUGGCUUUUGUUGGGUUGGAUGAGUGGCGAACGGGUGAGUAACACGUGAGUAACCUGCCCCCUUCUUUGGGAUAACGCCCGGAAACGGGUGCUAAUACUGGAUAUUCACUGGCCUUCGCAUGGGGGUUGGUGGAAAGGUUUGUUCUGGUGGGGGAUGGGCUCGCGGCCUAUCAGCUUGUUGGUGGGGUGAUGGCCUACCAAGGCUUUGACGGGUAGCCGGCCUGAGAGGGUGACCGGUCACAUUGGGACUGAGAUACGGCCCAGACUCCUACGGGAGGCAGCAGUGGGGAAUAUUGCACAAUGGGCGAAAGCCUGAUGCAGCGACGCCGCGUGAGGGAUGGAGGCCUUCGGGUUGUAAACCUCUUUCGCUCAUGGUCAAGCCGCAACUGUGGGUUGUGGUGAGGGUAGUGGGUAAAGAAGCGCCGGCUAACUACGUGCCAGCAGCCGCGGUAAUACGUAGGGCGCGAGCGUUGUCCGGAAUUAUUGGGCGUAAAGGGCUUGUAGGCGGUUGGUCGCGUCUGCCGUGAAAUCCUCUGGCUUAACUGGGGGCGUGCGGUGGGUACGGGCUGACUUGAGUGCGGUAGGGGAGACUGGAACUCCUGGUGUAGCGGUGGAAUGCGCAGAUAUCAGGAAGAACACCGGUGGCGAAGGCGGGUCUCUGGGCCGUUACUGACGCUGAGGAGCGAAAGCGUGGGGAGCGAACAGG
rnacentral:rRNA from 1 species